CUGGAGGUAUCAGAAGUGCGAAUGCUGACAUAAGUAACGAUAAAGCGGGUGAAAAGCCCGCUCGCCGGAAGACCAAGGGUUCCUGUCCAACGUUAAUCGGGGCAGGGUGAGUCGACCCCUAAGGCGAGGCCGAAAGGCGUAGUCGAUGGGAAACGGGUUAAUAUUCCCGUACUUGGUGUUACUGCGAAGGGGGGACGGAGAAGGCUAUGUUGGCCGGGCGACGGUUGUCCCGGUUUAAGCGUGUAGGUGUGUGUUCCAGGUAAAUCCGGUUCACUUUAACACUGAGGCGUGACGACGAGGCACUACGGUGCUGAAGCAACAAAUGCCCUGCUUCCAGGAAAAGCCUCUAAGCAUCAGGUAACAUCAAAUCGUACCCCAAACCGACACAGGUGGUCAGGUAGAGAAUACCAAGGCGCUUGAGAGAACUCGGGUGAAGGAACUAGGCAAAAUGGUGCCGUAACUUCGGGAGAAGGCACGCUGACACGUA
rnacentral:rRNA from 1 species